GGGGAUGUGGCGGAAUCGGUAGACGCGCACGCUUCAGGAGCGUGUGGGCUUACGCCCAUGUAGGUUCGAGUCCUAUCAUCCCCA
rnacentral:tRNA from 1 species